CCAAUAGCGUAUAUUAAAGUUGUUGCAGUUAAAAAGCUCGUAGUUGAAUUUCGGGAUCAGCGCGUCGGUCGUGCCUCCGGUAUGCACUGGCGCCGCUGGUUUCUCCCUUCUGAGGAACCGUGAUGUCAUUAAUUUGGUGUCGCGGGAAAUCAGGACUGUUACUUUGAAAAAAUUAGAGUGUUUAAAGCGGGCACGCGCUUGAAUACAUUAGCAUGGAAUAACGAAAUAGGACGUUCGAUCUUAUUUUGUUGGUUUCUAGGAUUGACGUAAUGAUUAAUAGGGAUAGUUGGGGGCAUUAGUAUUCAAUUGUCAGAGGUGAAAUUCUUGGAUUUAUUGAAGACUAACUACUGCGAAAGCAUUUGCCAAGGAUGUUUUCAUUAAUCAAGAACGAAAGUUAGGGGAUCGAAGACGAUCAGAUACCGUCGUAGUCUUAACCAUAAACUAUGCCGACUAGGGAUCGGAUGAUGUUAAUUUUAUAAUGACUCAUUCGGCGCCUUAC
rnacentral:rRNA from 1 species